rnacentral:rRNA from 1 species
UAAAGUAGCCCUAAAACUCCCGAUCUCCUCCUUCUUUUAGCUCCGCCUUCGAUACCAAUCCUUAACUUUGGGCCCCUUAAAGUAACCCUGUUGGGUCGGUUAAGAGCCGGCGGGCUGUCCCUUUUCUUCCAAAUGCUCUUCGCCAAUGUUAGUGGUUAACGCUAAGUUGUUGCGCCCCGAACCUAAUCGUUCUGCAGUGCUAAUAUUAAACAAACCCCACCAUCUUACCUUUUAAUUCCUUAAUUAAUUUUCCAUAAAAAGUUUUAUGGUUGCCAAUUUAAAUUUAUUCAUCAGCUCAUCGGGGUUUGAUUUACAAGACUUAACCCAAUAUCUCACAACACAAUCUAACUACAACAGCAGGCGCGCAAAUUACCCAAUCCAGACAAUGGGAGGUGGUGACGAGAAAUACUAGUCAGUGUCUCAAAAGGACGCUGAUCUGGAAUGGACGCAAUUUAAGAAAUUGGUUUGAGUAACAACUGGAGGGCAAGUCUGGUGCAUGCACCACCUGUCACUCUAUCCCCGAAAGUGUAUUUUAAUGUUGCUGCGUUUAAAACGCUCGUAGUUGGAUUACGCAGUGUGAGUCGGUCAAUUAGCAGAGCUUCACAUUAAAACCGAGGCGUUGUCUUCAUGAAAACACGGUUACCGUGAACGUGACUCAGCGUCUUGGUGUGCUGCAUGUUGAUUAUCAGCCGGCCCACACUACUUGUACGUGAGGAAAACCAUAUACCUUUAGUGCGUUGACUGUUCGUGUCCCACGGAGUGUGCCUUGAGUAAAUCAGAGUGCUUAAAGCAGGCUGGUCAACGAACAAUUGUGUUAUACGUGUCUAUACUUACAGUUGGAUGGAUUUACUCUAUGGUUAUUAUAAGAUGUCAAAACCUGUUAAAGUUCUUCGCUUUUCUUUAAAUAAAACAAAUGCAUCACACCUUGUGCCCCCCGUGUCCUUCUUACCCUCUAACAGCGGCGAGAGGUUUUUUAUUAUUAUCUUUAUAUUUUCUUAUAAUUUAGUUUUUACAUGAUUAUUUAUUCCCUAUCUA